rnacentral:piRNA from 1 species
UGCCAACGUAAGAAAUAGCUUUCCCUA